AUGGCCAAGUCCGGUGCCCGUAAGGACGCCGCGCAAGUCCGGCCAUCUGCCACCUCGCCGCCGCAGCAGCACUCCCCAGGCGCCACAGCAAGCUCGUUCGCCAGCCGCUCUCCACAGCUUCUCUUCUACCCCGGCGCCCCGACAAGAUCCUCGGCCAGCCCCUCGACACCGCCACACCUGUACCCGCCUCUCAUGGAAUCCUCCUCAGCCAACCCUACAUGGAGGCCGAUGUAUACCUCUGCACCUGAAGGUCCGCUAAGUUUUGGACAAAUACCGCCCAUGAAUCCUUACAGUUUUCAACCUCAGCUAAUGCACCAUCAUGAACAAAGAUACCAAAAUAUGGAGAAUUUGCACUUUGUUGGUGCUUCCCCACAUGAUCCCUUUUCAACACCACCGCCACCACCGCACUCUAAUGUUUCAUCUCAGUCUGCUCCCACCAAAGUUGAUUCAAAGAAAAAGAAAAGGAAGGUCAAGAGUGUAGAUGCCGACGAAUCGGGAGCAAGGACCGCACAUCGUCUACCCUAUACACCCGAGGAACAUGAGAGACUGGCAGGUGCUUGGCUGGAGUGUUCACUCAAUCCCAUUGAUGGGAACAAAAAGAAGUCUGAGCAGUUUUGGGAUGACAUUGCUGCUCUAUACAGCAGCAGCCGCUAG
rnacentral:rRNA from 1 species